GUGGUAAGGGGUGAACAUCCUUGGGAAGCCACAGAGAGCAAGGCGCAGUUUUUCAUUGAUCACCACUUUCAAGAUGCUCCCAGAAUCGUGCUGUCUAGGAAGCCAUUUAAACUGGUGAGAAGCCAUCCUCUCUUGAAUGGGGGCUCCCACUGUACAUCUGGCACCCACUUCACAGAUUCUGGGGGAUGUCAACACCAGCACUGCUGAGCUGUGUGACCUUGAGCAAGACAGUUAGCCUCUCUGAACCUCAGUGUCCUUCUCUGUAGGCUGGAGAUUGAUAUACCUUCAUUAUCGGGGUAUGAGAGUGUUAUAAGGUGGGAUGGUGGAACACGCUGACUGGUCUGGGCUAUUCAAGAUCCAUGAACUGGAAGAUGCUUUCUUAUAACUCAGAGAAAAGAGAUGAAAAUGAAUCAAAGAACAGGAAGGAGACAAGCUCAGGAGAGUCACCCUAAGAAGGAUGUGUGGAAGACUUGACUGGAGGAUCAAAAUGUGUCGGGGGAAGGUGUACAAGGAGGAGUAAGGACACAGAUGUCCUGACUUCACACAGUGGGGGAUUAGAAGCCACCAUCAAACACAGAUGAAACAGGAAUAAAAGUAGUAGUACAUUACUUAAGCUUUAAAAGGGUAAGACUCCUGGGAAUUUGGAAGCUGAGACUUGAGGCAAGUAUUUAGGAUUUGCUGUCUCACCUCCCUGCUAUGACAGUCCUUAAUUAAUGGAGAUGAUGGAGAACAGCUUGCUGGGCUGAGUGGCAGGAGCCAUGCAGCUGCUGGGGCUGGAGUGGGUCAGGAAGCUUCAUCAAUCUGGGACACAUGACGUGCUUGGUGGUGGCGGAGCCUGACGCAUCCCUCUUCAUCGACAUUGUGUCAAUAGGAGCAGAGGCAUUUAGCUGUGUAAACACAGAGCUUCAGUGGCAGCACCCUAAAUGCUUAGCUGAUAGAUCCGGAAUUAAAUACAGACCUAGAAACUGGAGUUGGAAAACUUCCUGGCAGCACUCCUUCCCUGCCAUCCCGGUGAUCCCCUUCUGGAUGGAGGGUGUGGAGCUCAGCACAUUCACGUCUGCAGGCGUUAUACUUAUAACUUUACAGGGAUUAUCUAAUUCAUUACUGAAACAACAUUGUGAUUUCCAUUUCGCAAGUGGGGAACCCUGUCCAGAGAACUUAUUUCUCAGAGAACCAAGUGUUAAGGAAUGUCAGGGAAGGAAGAAGGCAGCCAGCCAGGAAGGGGAGGUCCUGGCCUGAGCACGCCAGGCACAGAGGGAUAGAGGGUAGGGAGGAAACUGCACCUGUCUCCAACCCUCGACCCCAGCCCCGAAACACGACAUUGGCUGAAACAGAUUAAAAGCAUAAAA
rnacentral:lncRNA from 1 species